GUGUGGUGCUGCUAUGGCUGCCAUUCAUUGGAGAGCUUCAAGCUAGCUUUAAGACUUCCUCUUAUGGGGUUGAGCCUGGUAUUGCUUACCAGCCCCAGGUUCCCAGCUACGAGCCCCAGCCCCAGGUGCCCAGCUACCAGCCCCAGCCCCAGGUGCCCAGCUACCAGCCCCAGCCCCAGGUGCCCAG